GAGACAGGGAGGAUCGGGGUGUUAGUCGUACCCCAUACCAGAAACCGACUUCAUGCUGGGAUCAGCAACCGCUGGGUAAAUCUACUGGUACAAGGUACCUGCUUGCCUAGCUGAAAUGAAGUCAUGCCGUGCCGGAUGGUUAUGAGCAGCAUGUCAUGCGAAGGCAUGGUCUUGACUGCGUAUAGUCGAAAUGGGUGAGGUCCGGGAGGGAGCAACUCUAAGAUUGCAUGGUUAUGCUGGCACGUCUACGUGGCAGAUCUCGCAAGGCUUGAGAGGGGGCUUUGGACCUUUAUUGGAACCAGUGGGCUGUCUC
rnacentral:SRP_RNA from 1 species